CCCUACAAGGACAAAGAUGCCUGAAU
rnacentral:piRNA from 1 species